UCCAGACUGGAGCCAGCAACUGGGGAGACUGUCUGAGCCUAGCUGCUGGAGGGAUCCAAAUUGUGCAGGUGUAUAUAUAUAUUCCUACUAGUGCAUCUUCGUUCUGCUUCAUUCUGCUCGGCCAGAGAAGCUGGAGAAAAGGAGGCUGAGGGAAGACCUUAUCACUCUCUGCAACUACCUGAAAGGAGGUCGUAGCAUGGAGGGGGUUGGUCUCUUCUCCCAAGUGAUAGGACGAGAGGAAAUGGCCUCAAGUUGUGCCAGGGGAGGUUUAGAUUGGAUAUUAGGAAAAAAUUCUUCACACAAAGGGCUGUCAGGCAUUGGAACAGGCUGCUCAGGGAAGUGGUGGAGUCACCAUCCCUAGAGGUGUGUAAAAGAAGUGUAGAUGUUGUGCUUAGGGGCAUGGUUUAGAGGUGGACUUGGCAGUGUUAGGUUAAUGGUGGGACUAGGUGAUCUUAAAGGUCUUUUCCAACCGAAAUGAUUCUAUGAUUCUGUGAUUCCUUCCUCAUGUAUGUCUGUUGCUAGGUGACCAGGUAGCAAUGCAAAAGUCCCCUGCUCACCAGCUGGGGCUCAGGAGUGCAAAAUUCCCUGUGUAGCCAGCAUGAUUUCUUGAGCCUUUUUCAGCUCAGACCCUGCAAGCCUACUCUGCCUUUCACUCGCUCAGAUCACUGCAGCAAUGAAGCAUGAAGAAUGCUCCUCUACUGCCAUACAGUGUCUGCCAACAAAUGACCAAAAGGAAGAUUUUUCCCAGUUAAACUCCAGGCCAAAGGCAGAUGGCAGGAUUACCCACCCAUACACCAUGCUGGGAUCCACUGCAGUCAAUACUGGACUCUGCAGAGAGCAAUUAUGCUGCAUUUGAGGCACCGUGGAUUCCAGCAGACUGAACUAGUGACUGGACACCAAAGGCUUCUUGGUAGAUCUAAUAAGGCGAAUAAUUCAUGCACAGUUGAACAGCAGUUACUGCUCUGCUCAUCCCUUUCUACCAUUUACAUUUUUGCAGCUCGCUUGCUUUCUUAAAUAGGGGAUAAUAAAGAUUCACA